UGGGGAAUAUUGCGCAAUGGGCGAAAGCCUGACGCAGCGACGCCGCGCGAGGGAUGAAGGUUUUCGGAUCGUAAACCUCUGUCAGAAGGGAAGAAACUACAUUGUGCUAAUCAGCAGUGUACUGACGGUACCUUCAAAGGAAGCACCGGCUAACUCCGUGCCGGCAGCCGCGGUAAUACGGAGGGUGCAAGCGUUAAUCGGAAUUACUGGGCGUAAAGCGCACGUAGGCUGUAGUGUAAGUCAGGGGUGAAAUCCCACGGCUCAACCGUGGAACUGCCUUUGAUACUGCACAACUUGAAUCCGGGAGAGGGUGGCGGAAUUCCAGGUGUAGGAGUGAAAUCCGUAGAUAUCUGGAGGAACAUCAGUGGCGAAGGCGGCCACCUGGACCGGUAUUGACGCUGAGGUGCGAAAGCGUGGGGAGCAAACAG
rnacentral:rRNA from 1 species